rnacentral:rRNA from 1 species
UUGUUGGAGAGUUUGAUCCUGGCUCAGGACGAACGCUGGCGGCGUGCUUAACACAUGCAAGUCGAGCGGAAAGGCCCUUCGGGGUACUCGAGCGGCGAACGGGUGAGUAACACGUGAGUAACCUGCCCUGGACUUUGGGAUAACCCUCGGAAACGGGGGCUAAUACCGAAUACGACUUCCUGCCGCAUGGCAUGGACGUGGAAAGUUUUUCGGUCUGGGAUGGACUCGCGGCCUAUCAGCUUGUUGGUGGGGUAAUGGCCUACCAAGGCGACGACGGGUAGCCGGCCUGAGAGGGCGACC